GACGAACGCUGGCGGCGCGCCUAACACAUGCAAGUCGAGCGAGAACCGGGCCUUCGGGCCCGGGGACAGCGGCGAACGGGUGAGUAACACGUGGGCAACCUGCCCUCGGCACUGGGAUAGCCCGGGGAAACCCGGAUUAAUACCGGAUAGCCUCCGGAGCCUUCGGGCGCCGGAAGAAAGGUGGCUUCGGCAUCCGGCCGAGGAGGGGCCCGCGGCGGAUUAGCUUGUUGGUGGGGUAAUGGCUCACCAAGGCGACGAUCCGUAGCUGGUCUGAGAGGACGAUCAGCCACACUGGGACUGAGACACGGCCCAGACUCCUACGGGAGGCAGCAGUGGGGAAUCUUGCGCAAUGGGCGAAAGCCUGACGCAGCGACGCCGCGUGCGGGAAGAAGGCCUUCGGGUUGUAAACCGCUUUCAGGAGGGACGAAGCCACUCGGGUGAACAGCCCAGAGGGUGACGGUACUUCCAGAAGAAGCCCCGGCUAACUACGUGC
rnacentral:rRNA from 1 species